UACGUAGGGGGCAAGCGUUGUCCGGAUUUAUUGGGCGUAAAGAGCGUGUAGGCGGUUUGGUAGGUCCGCUGUGAAAACUCGAGGCUCAACCUCGAGACGCCGGUGGAAACCAUCAGACUAGAGUCCGGAAGAGGAGAGUGGAAUUCCUGGUGUAGCGGUGAAAUGCGCAGAUAUCAGGAAGAACACCGGUGGCGAAGGCGGAACUCUGGGCCGAUACUGACGCUGAGGAGCGAAAGCGUGGGGAGCAAACAGG
rnacentral:rRNA from 1 species